rnacentral:lncRNA from 1 species
UGUGGAGAAUAAAGCUUUGUAGGACAGCUUUCGGGGCUCUUAGGAUCAGCAGCCUUAGACGUCUCAGGGAAAGGCCUCCUCUCAGUUCUAGCAAGCUGGGACUCCGCUAGGGACUGGAGGAUACAAACAUCUCCUGCUGUCCUCAUUCCAAACCUACCGCGAGAUCCUUCCAAGAAGACUCUAGCCUAAGAGGAAGGUUCCUGGAACAGGAGCUCCCACAACAGACUACCUGAAGCUAAUCAGUCACUAAGUUUUGCCCUGGAAGAGUGACCACCUUGUGGGAACCAGACUGAUCCCCUGGAGACAGUGAUCAAGGAAACUGCUGACCUAGGUCUGCCGCUGCCCUCAGGGUAUCCCGGCAUCACUGUGUGCCGGGCUGUACUGAAAUGAAUGAGACUUAGUCGAGCUGGUGGAUUA